rnacentral:rRNA from 1 species
UACGGAGGGUGCAAGCGUUGUUCGGAUUUACUGGGCGUAAAGCGCGCGCAGGCGGGUGUACAAGUCGGAAGUGAAAUCUUGAGGCUCAACCUCGAGGCUGCUCCCGAAACUGUACGCCUAGGGACUGGUAGAGGCUGGUAGAAUUCCCGGUGUAGCGGUGGAAUGCGUAGAGAUCGGGAAGAAUACCUGUGGCGAAGGCGGCCAGCUGGGCCAGAUCCGACACUGAGGCGCGAAAGCGUGGGGAGCAAACAGG